rnacentral:rRNA from 1 species
UGGGAACGUACCCUUCGGCUCGGAACAACUCUGGGAAACUGGAGCUAAUACCGGAUACGCCCUUUUGGGUAAAGGUUUACUGCCGAAGGAUCGGCCCGCGUCUGAUUAGCUAGUUGGUGGGGUAACGGCCUACCAAGGCGACGAUCAGUAGCUGGUCUGAGAGGAUGAUCAGCCACAUUGGGACUGAGACACGGCCCAAACUCCUACGGGAGGCAG